UGGGCUCGAUGAUUUUGUUGGAUAACACCUAAUGAAUUUAGAUUGCUUUUGGGGUUUUGAAGAUUAAAGUUACAAGUCAAGAUGCACAAGCUCAUUAUUAUUUUGCUAGGAAUAUUAUGUAGAACUCAAUAUAAUAGUCUAGCUCGGGGUGUUAGCAAUGUCUUUUUGUUAAGGUGUCAAGAAAAUAUUGAAACUAACAUCAUGGGAUGUUAACCAUUUUAUUGUAAUUAAUAACUAGCUCUUUUCCUC